AUAGAAAAACCUAUUGAACGUUAUCGGGCUACGUUAGAUUGUGUUUAUCGUGAAUAACCAGGCGCUCGAUAUUGAAGACUGAUCAUAUUCUAGGCACGGGGGCGUCAAGUUAGUAAAACUUAGUUGUUGGCGUACAUUCUUCUACACUUACAUACAGCAUACUUGUAGGGAUUGAAGAAAAGAAAAACUCAAGAAACAACCUAGAGGAGAUUGCAAAUUCUUAUUUCGGCUUGUGAUUGUUCUGCUUGGACUUGGAAUUCGAAGGAAAGGAAAACUUUGAAGUGCAGUAUUCUUCUUGAAAGGAAAGACAGAAAUCAAAAUUUAUUUUAAAGCUAUGGAAGUUCGGUGUUCAGUGCUGAUAGCUGUCACAUCAAUUUUGUAUCUAAUUCUAACUGUUUCCACGGUCUCAGGUAAAUGUUCUGGUAGAUGGGCAAUACAUGCUUGUUUUGGAGGUAAUGGUAAAAGAUCAGAUCCAAGUGUAGCAGAUAACUUAGACAGCAGAAGACAAAAUUCCCUGAGACAGAUACUUUUACCCCAGUCUUUUCUACUUGAUAAAAAUGAAUUAAAUCAGGACACAGAAUUAAAUUUUGAUGAACCAUUAAGAAACGAAGAACAGAGGCAGGAUAUUAACAGACUGGAACUUUUACUGAAAACAUUGAUGAUGGAACAAAAGAUACGAAAAGAAGGAUCAAUGUUGGCCUGAAAUACAUCAGGCCAGUGAGGGCCAAACCUACAAGUUGCAAUGGUUGAUUCCAAUAUUUUAAAAGUCCAAAUAUGAGGUCUAGCCUAUAUCCAAAAUUAUUACAUCUAACAUAGAAAUUAUUGUUACCAUCAAUUCAUAAUUGUAUAAUUAAAGAGUUGAGCUUUCAUAUUUAAAGUACAUUCUGUGUUGCUUUUACUCAACUCAAAGGUUCGCGGAUCAUUCGAAAAAUGUUGCCAUCAAUAAAUAAUGACGUUCAAAUAAAUAUGAUCCUGUUGCUUACUACCUACUCCGAAUCUUUCAUACUUCUACCAUGCGCUCGGAGAGGGUUUUCGUGUUACACCGAGAAGACCGUUGACCCAAUAACUUCUGAAUUUGAGACCGCUAUUAGACGUGUAAUCAAUUUUUCCACAUACGAAACACUCAUUUUGUUUUAAACGGGUUUAUGUGUCUGUCGAAAAAUACUAGAGUUAGUUACUAUGUUUGCUAAUAGUGUUAUUAGUAUAUGAUUUCGUGGAAUUAUUGUGGGUGAGAUUAAUUUAUCAUGUAUGUAAUUUAAUUUCAAUCAAGAUUGUAUUAACUUGCUAGAAGGUGGGCAAACAGACACACUUAAGGCACUUAAAUCAAAUUAGACUAGUAGUGAACAGCUAUUGAACCCCUUGACCUGACAAACGUUGUCAAUUAGUGAAACUAUGAUUAACACCAUGAAGGCACCACACAAUUUACAGAAAUGGUCGAUUGAAAUUGGGAUUUAAGUUCUUACACGAUAAAAGCUUUAUCGUCUGUUUUUUGUCUUUUAAUCUCAUUUUUGUAAAAUAUAUGUGUGUACAUUGUUCUUAAAGAAUCCAUAAGCAUGUUCAAUGGUACUGGUCUAUUCAGGUCAGGGACGUCUUAUACAAGACACUGCACACAGAAAGUGGGGCCACGAAUCAAAUCCUGGAAACGCUUUUACUCUUUUUAUUCUAAUAAAUUUACGUUUGUAAAGAUUUUUUUUUUGGAGCUAACUUCCAACAAUAACUGAAAAUCAGAAAGAAAAAGUGUAAAGGAAAACUGCCCUCUGUCCGCUAUUUAACCAUCAUGCUAGGGGCUGCGUGAUCCAGCGCAAAUGUUAGUCUGGUAUCAUCAAGUCUCAUUUCAUCUGAAUAGCAAGGGAUUUUGUGGUUGCUGUACGCGACCUAGUAUCAACGGAUAAUUUGCAGUCCUGGUCAUUUUUCAUAAGCGUCUAUUUGAACGCAACCAUUAUCAUUGAAUUAUAAUUAAAUUUAGUUGGAUCUUGUAGUUGACCUAUAAAUUGAACUGAAACAAAGAUGGUGGCGUAUUUCAAACUAUUAUAUAUUACCAUUUACAAGUAUCUGUUGGUUCUUAAACACAUGUUCACUGUUAACCCUUCCCUCACAGAAAAUCUGCGUAAUUGCACAAUAUGUAUUUUGGUUAAUUUGUAAGUAAAUGAUAUUAAAAGAUUGCAGACCAUUUCCAAAUUAUUUUUAUAUUCUGAUUAUUGUAAUAAAUCUUAAUACGGACAAUAAAAUGAAUCAACUAUA